rnacentral:rRNA from 1 species
UACGUAGGGGGCAAGCGUUAUCCGGAAUCAUUGGGCGUAAAGCGCGUGUAGGCGGUUCUGUAAGUCCGCUCUGAAAGCCCAGGGCUCAACCCUGGGAGGCGGGUGGAUACUACAGAACUGGAGUACGGAAGAGGAGAUUGGAAUUCCUGGUGUAGCGGUGAAAUGCGCAGAUAUCAGGAGGAACACCAACAGCGAAGGCAGAUCUCUGGGACGUUACUGACGCUGAGACGCGAAAGCGUGGGGAGCAAACGGG